GAUGAACGCUAGCGGGAGGCCUAACACAUGCAAGCCGAGCGGUAGAGUUUCUUCGGAAACUUGAGAGCGGCGCACGGGUGCGUAACACGUGUGCAACCUACCUUUAUCUGGGGGAUAGCCUUUCGAAAGGAAGAUUAAUACCCCAUAAUAUAAUGAUUGGCAUCAAUUAUUAUUGAAAACUCCGGUGGAUAGAGAUGGGCACGCGCAAGAUUAGAUAGUUGGUGAGGUAACGGCUCACCAAGUCAAUGAUCUUUAGGGGUCCUGAGAGGGAGAUCCCCCACACUGGUACUGAGACACGGACCAGACUCCUACGGGAGGCAGCAGUGAGGAAUAUUGGACAAUGGGUGAGAGCCUGAUCCAGCCAUCCCGCGUGAAGGAUGACGGUCCUAUGGAUUGUAAACUUCUUUUGUACAGGGAUAAACCUACCCUCGUGAGGGUAGCUGAAGGUACUAUACGAAUAAGCACCGGCGAACUCCGU
rnacentral:rRNA from 1 species